GAACCUCCCAUCACCCCAAAACUUCAUCAUAUGGUAUCCAACGUGGGGCUGUGAGUCUUUUCAUCUGGACUCUGAGCUUCGGUGCAAAUUCGGGGAAUGUAAGAGCAUGAACGGGGGAGGGGCA